CACCAAUGAACAUACACGGAUCUGUGUCCAGCGAUCCUGAGCAUGGAGCUGUUCCUCUUCACGGAGGAGCUGCCUCUGUGUCUCGGUUGAUUGCUGGACAGUUCGACGACUUAAGGAGCCAUCUCCUCGUGGAUGGUUUUUAUUUCCGGUCGACAGAUCUCAGAUCGAAUGCUGGCAUUAGGUAUCACUCGGUCUUGAGCUCCCGCAUAGGUGAGCUCGGCUGGAGGGCCUAUUACUAGCGGCGUCAUAUUCCUGAUCCCUUCACCGAUUUGGCCGUCGGCUUGUGAGGUUGGGGAAAAACCAUGACUAGCCAACAUAC
rnacentral:sRNA from 1 species